rnacentral:rRNA from 1 species
UACGGAGGGUGCAAGCGUUAUCCGGAUUCACUGGGUUUAAAGGGUGCGUAGGUGGGUAGGUAAGUCAGUGGUGAAAUCCCCGAGCUUAACUUGGGAACUGCCGUUGAUACUAUCUAUCUUGAAUAUCGCGUAGGUAAGCGGAAUAUGUCAUGUAGCGGUGAAAUGCUUAGAUAUGACAUAGAACACCAAUUGCGAAGGCAGCUUACUUCACGAUUAUUGACACUGAGGCACGAAAGCGUGGGGAGCAAACAGG